rnacentral:rRNA from 1 species
UACAGAGGGUGCGAGCGUUAAUCGGAAUUACUGGGCGUAAAGCGCACGUAGGCGGCUUGGUAUGUCGGGUGUGAAAUCCCCGGGCUCAACCUGGGAACUGCAUCCGAAACUGCCUUGCUCGAGUAUGGGAGAGGGAAGUGGAAUUUCCGGUGUAGCGGUGAAAUGCGCAGAUAUCAGGAGGAACACCGGUGGCGAAGGCGGGUCUCUGGGCAAUAACUGACGCUGAGGAGCGAAAGCGUGGGGAGCGAACAGG